AUAGGCUUAGCAAUUUCCACAAUAUGGUCCCUGGACCAGCUGCAUUGCCUUCUCUGGGAACUUCUUGGAGACCUGCUGAAUCAGAAACUCAGAGGGUCAAGCCCAGUAAUCUGUGAUCAUAUUAGUAAGUCCUCCAGGUGAUUCUGAUUCAUACCACUCUCAAGCACAAGCAAAGCAAUGAUUAGCAGCAUGGUAUUCCAUUGUCCUUGGUUAAGGUUCAGGAGACCUGGGUUCAGGUCUUCGGAGGAAAGGCACUGAGAGUGGACAGAGGGAAGACAUAGCAGCUGGGCUGAAGCAGGAGGAAGCUGGGAACCCUGCAUGAGGC
rnacentral:lncRNA from 1 species